rnacentral:rRNA from 1 species
AGGCUUAGAAGUGUGGACGCCAGUCUGCAUGGAGCCGACCUUGAAAUACCACCCUUUAAUGUUUGAUGUUCUAACGUUGACCCGUAAUCCGGGUUGCGGACAGUGUCUGGUGGGUAGUUUGACUGGGGCGGUCUCCUCCUAAAGAGUAACGGAGGAGCACGAAGGUUGGCUAAUCCUGGUCGGACAUCAGGAGGUUAGUGCAAUGGCAUAAGCCAGCUUGACUGCGAGCGUGACGGCGCGAGCAGGUGCGAAAGCAGGUCAUAGUGAUCCGGUGGUUCUGAAUGGAAGGGCCAUCGCUCAACGGAUAAAAGGUACUCCGGGGAUAACAGGCUGAUACCGCCCAAGAGUUCAUAUCGACGGCGGUGUUUGGCACCUCGAUGUCGGCUCAUCACAUCCUGGGGCUGAAGUAGGUCCCAAGGGUAUGGCUGUUCGCCAUUUAAAGUGGUACGCGAGCUGGGUUUAGAACGUCGUGAGACAGUUCGGUCCCUAUCUGCCGUGGGCGCUGGAGAACUGAGGGGGGCUGCUCCUAGUACGAGAGGACCGGAGUGGACGCAUCACUGGUGUUCGGGUUGUCAUGCCAAUGGCACUGCCCGGUAGCUAAAUGCGGAAGAGAUAAGUGCUGAAAGCAUCUAAGCACGAAACUUGCCCCGAGAUGAGUUCUCCCUGACUCCUUGAGAGUCCUGAAGGAACGUUGAAGACGACGACGUUGAUAGGCCGGGUGUGUAAGCGCAGCGAUGCGUUGAGCUAACCGGUACUAAUGAACCGUGAGGCUUAACCUU